UAUAUAUUCCCUUUGAAUUUACAAUUAGAGAUGGUUUAUGAGUUGCUAUCAUCUGAUUAAUUAUGACUAAAUUCUUAUCUUUAUCUAAGCUGGUACAGAUUUUUAAGGGCCCAGCAAGUGUGGGAUGAUAUGCUCAACUUGAGGAAGGAAUUUUUCUGUUCAACUGUGGUACAGAUUUCUGCUUCCAUUGGAGCUUUUAGUGGAGACAGUCUCGUUUGACUACUUUUAAACUUCUUUCUUUGUUUAUUUUGUAGAGAGACUGAUCUAAUCAGUGGGAUGCCAAACUGAUCGAGAUUUAAUUAGUUUAGGACUGGGUUCUACUCUACACUCAUCUUUGCAACUCUUGAUAUUUGACAAGGUGAAAAUCAGCAAUGUUGUUCUCUGAAUGCAAGCUAAGAUGAAUCUAGAGAUCUGGUAGAGACAAUAAUGAAUCACUGAGUUUAGGCGCACAAUGAUCUAUGUAGAAUGCAUUGUAAAGUGCUUUCAAGAAGAUUUUGGAUUUUUGGUAGCAGCCUUGCAUGGUGUAUUACAUCCCGACUUUUCCGGUCAAUUCUCAGCAUUACCAGAAGCAGUCUGGAAGUGCCAACAUGGAUUCUGCAUCGUACAUCUGCAUACCGAAGCAAUCAGUUUGAUUUUGCACAGCUUGUGUCAUAGAGAGGCCAUGAUCCUACCUCUGCAGGUUAACAAUUCAGUGUUGCAGCUCUAUCUCUGGAAGAAUUGGUGCAGGAGAAUAUUAUGGAGUUUAGCAACUGGAUCAAAGGUUUUUCUAUAAGCCUUGCUGAAGUCGGGGGUUAUUCAAGGGUCUUCUUAUUCAAGCUUAGUUAAUCCGCAAAGAGCCUAUUCUGUGACACUAGCCGGGACAUCUCAAUGACUCAUGUCUAGCUACAAGGAAGUUAAUGAAACAGCAGAUAACUUGCCAAGCUCGAUCAUCCUUAGCCAU